rnacentral:lncRNA from 1 species
GUCACGGACAUACAUAUAAUUACCUAUAUGAAUAGAUAAAAGUAUGUAAAAGUAGAUAAAAGUAGGUUAAUUGUGUAAUAUCUUCUAGAGAAGCUUCUUAGAAGCUUCAUAGAUGCUGCUUUGACUUUAUAGGAGUCUAUAGUUGACUUUUAGGUUAGAAACUUGAUCAACAAGUUAGCCAUGUACCACACAUGUUGGAAGCUUAAAGAACAAGCUAACUACGUGGUCCAUCCAUAGAAAACUUGCCUUGCAAGCAAAGGCAUGUGGCCUAGAAAGUCAACAUAUAUUGGAGGUCUUAUAGAACAUCGCCACGUGGCUUCUAGUUAGAUAGUAUAUAUAGAGGCAAGAGUGAAGCCCUCUUCACUCUUGUCAACUCCUUUCUUGCUUCUAGUCCAGGUUCAAGAGUCUUUAGUUUCUUGUCUUGUGGCAAUAGCCAUUCCAGUUUCCUUUUAAUAUACCUACUUGUUUAUAUUUUGACUUAUUAUAUCGAGAUAGCCUUUUGGUGUAUAUUUUUCCUCAUCGAGUCUUUGUCCUUGACAGAUUGACAAGAGUCCACUUACAAUAUCAGAGCUUUGUUUUUUCUUGAGUAAAAGUGGAUUACCCCUUUCUCUUGACAAGACAUAAGCGUAUUUGAAGUUUGCGGAUUACCCACUUCUAAACUGAUAUUGUUCUUAGUAUCUUCUUUGUUAUCAAGUCUUUCUUUUCUUUUGUCUUGAGCAAUAUCAAACAAAUUUUUCUUCUUAGUGUCAUUAUGGCAGAACUUGUUGAAAUGAAGAGUGCAAUGGCACAAAUGCAAGAGCAAAUGAGGGAGUUAAUGCUUGCGAUGCAUCAACUCAAUUCACCAACACAUGAAAGAAUAAGAAUAGCAGAAAGUGGAGAUAUAGAGAUGAUCGGAGCUGCUUCAACAUCUACAACAAAUCACGUCCCUUCUUCAAUUGUACAACACCCUAUAAGCACUAGAGAACCAAGAAUUGCCUUACCCGAGAAAUUUGAUGGUACGAGAUCAAAGUUUUGAGGGUUCAUCAAUCAAGUACAAUUGGCAAUUGAACUUCAACCGCAAAGCUAUCCAACUCCAGGAUCACAAGUCAGGUUUAUUGGCACUCUACUUUCUGGUUCUGCAUUAUCGUGGUUUUCGUCUUUUCUUGAACAACGAAAUCCAAUAUUGGACAAUUUGAAAGCUUUUUUGGCGGAGUUUCGAUCUAUGUAUGGUGAACACGAUGCAACUCGUGUUGCAACAAAUAAGAUCCGAAUUCUGCGACAAGGAAAUCGCUCAGUAACAGUAUAUGCUUCAUAAUUUCGACAACUUGCAAUUGACAUCAAGUGGGAUGAUGCUGCACUCAUCAGUCAAUUUCUUUAUGGAUUGCAAUACGAAGUAAAGAAAUUGAUGCUCAACUUACCUGAUCCUCAAACUUUGAGUCAAGCAAUCGAUUUUGCGGUAAAAUGUGAUAAUCGACUUUUUGAAUUUCGAUCUGAGAAUCAUUCACGGAAACCUCAACGUUAUUACUCAAUGGCAACACCAACACCUUUGCCAAACGUACAUUCGGAAGUAGAAGACAUGCAAAUUGACGCGGUACAUUUUAAACCUCUAACUGAGCAAGAAAAGAUUCGUCGUUGUCAAGAACGAUUAUGUUUAUAUUACGGAGAACCUAAGCACACUGCUCAACAUUGUCCAAAGAAACGACGCAACUAUAAAAUGAGGGGUACGACGGUCAAAGAAGACAACAUGUCGGAAAACGGAUUCGUCCAGCUACAAUAGGGACCGUGCAGCUGGAACCUUGUACAAUUCCUAAUGAAGGUCCUAUCCUCUCCUCAGAACCCUCUCUUUGUUUUAUAAUAGACUUAUAUUUAGGACCUAAGAAUUACAAAGCCUCUGCUUUAUUAGAUUCGGGAGCCUCAGCAUGUUUUUUAGAUGAACAAUUUGUUAAAAGUCGUAAAAUACCCUUUGUACAGAAACCUAAACCAGUACAUGUAGAAGUCAUAGAUGGUCGUCCCUUGUCUUCUGGAGAUGUCACUCAUGAAACUCAUCCUAUAAAAGUAACAAUAGACGGUCAUGAUAGCUACAUAGCUUUUAACAUAAUUAAAUCCCCGUCCAAUCCAGUUAUUUUAGGUUUAUCCUGGCUAGAAAAAUAUAACCCUCGAAUAGAUUGGAAUUCACGUAAACUUGACUUUUCCAAAAGUAUUAUUAAUAGUUCUACGAACCAAGUAAAAAAUUAUAAGUAUAGUACAGUAAAACCCAUACUGAUAGGUGCAAAAGCAUUUAUACACGCAGCAAAAGAAGGAUCAACUUUUGCUAUUUAUGCUGCACCUAUUUCUGAAAACGUAAAGACUUCAAGUGGCAUUCCAAGUCAAUAUCAGGAGUAUCAAGACGUUUUUGAGAAAAAGAAUGCAGAUAUUCUUCCUGAGCAUCGUCCAUAUGAUUGUUCAAUCGACCUCAAGGAAGGAACUCAGCCACCAUUUGGACCAAUUUACAGUUUAUCGCAAGAUGAGAUGGCUGAACUCAAGACAUAUAUUGACGAGAAUUUAGCGAAGAAUUUCAUACGCCAUUCAAAAUCUCCAGCAGGAGCUCCAAUUCUAUUCGUAAAGAAAAAAGAUGGAUCUUUACGAAUGUGUGUUGAUUAUCGAGGACUCAACAAGAUCACAAUCAAGAACAGGUAUCCAUUACCUUUGAUAUCAGGACUCCUUGACAAGUUGAAUCAAGCUAAGAUCUAUACAAAAAUAGAUCUAAGAGGAGCAUAUAAUCUAGUACGAAUCAAAGAAGGAGAUGAAUGGAAGACUGCAUUUCGAACCAGGUAUGGACAUUUCGAAUAUAAUGUCAUGCCGUUUGGACUCACGAAUGUACCAGCUGCUUUUCAACAUCUCAUGAAUGAUAUAUUUCGUGAAUUCUUAGACAAUUUUGUCGUCUGCUAUCUAGACGAUAUCCUGAUCUAUUCCAAGAACGUCGAAGAACAUGAAAUACAUGUUCGUCAAGUAUUACAAAAACUUAGAGAUGCAGGAUUGUAUGCCAAGAUGGAAAAGUGUGUAUUUCACACUACUCAAGUUGACUUUUUAGGAUACAUCAUUUCAAAUGAUGGUCUCAUGAUGGAUUCUAAGAAAGUCCAAACAUUCGUGGAUUGGAAGAUUCCAAGGAUGGUAAGAGAUGUCCAAUGUUUCUUGGGAUUUGCCAAUUACUAUCGGAUCUUCAUCAAAGACUUCUCACGAGUUGCAGCUCCACUUACACGCUUGACUAGUAAAGAUAAAUUCCAAUGGAAUCAAGAAGCGGAAGCAGCAUUUGAAGUCUUGAAGACAUCGUUUGUCUCUGCACCAGUCUUAUAUCGUGUUGACUUUUCCAAGGUAUUUUUUAUGGAAACAGACGCAUCGGAUUUUGCCUUGGGUGCAGUUUUAUCACAAAUGGGAACAGAUGACAAACUUCAUCCGAUAGCUUUUCAUUCAAGAAAAUUCUCAGCAGCCGAGAUCAAUUAUGAGAUCCACGAUAAAGAACUUCUUGCAAUCGUGGAUUCUUUUCAAGAAUGGCGUCAUUAUCUAGAAGGUGCUUCUAGUCCAGUCACUGUGUAUACAGAUCACAAGAACCUCGAGUAUUUCAUGUCAGCACGUGUGUUGAAUCGUUGUCAAGCUCGUUGGAGUAUGUCUUUGUCAAGAUUCGACUUCAUUAUCACUUAUCGGCCAGGAAAACAACAAGGUUUGUCCGAUGCCCUGUCUAGACGUUCUUAUUUUGCACCAAAAGAAGGAGAUGCAGCUUUUGAGCAACAAAGAACGGUCCUCUUGAAACCGGAGCAAUUUCAUCUCAGAGCAGUGAAAUCAACACUGACUGUUGAUUCAACUUUUCUCAAGCAAAUCCAGUCCAGUAUGUCCUCAGACCCUCUUGUUCAUGAUAUCGAGAAUAAUUCUUCCAAGUCUCAUGAUUCUUCUAAGUUCGAGUUCAAGAAUAAUCUAUUAUAUUUUGAAGGACGCCUAUAUGUUCCAGAAGAAAAAGCACGUUUGCGUGUUCUUCAAGCACGUCAUGACUUUCCAGCAGCAGGUCACUUUGGAUAUAAUAAGACUCUGGAACUCAUAUCAAGAGAUUUUUGGUGGCCACAAAUGUGGAAGUCAGUCAAAGACUUUGUACAAUCAUGUGAUAUUUGUUCAAGAUCAAAAAUUCCUCGACAUCGACCUUACGGACUUCUUCAGCCAUUACCUAUACCAGAACAACCAUGGUCUUCUGUUUCUAUGGAUUUCAUCACAGAUCUUCCAAACUCAAGAUCUUAUGAUUCUAUAUUUGUGAUAGUAGAUCGUUUCACCAAGAUGGCACAUUUUAUGCCAUGUACAAAAUCUAUCACAGGUGAAGAAACAGCUAAGCUUUUCAUUGAUAAUAUCUAUCGCUAUCAUGGAUUACCUAAAGAUAUCAUAUCGGAUAGGGGAACUCAAUUUGUGUCGAGAUUCUGGAGGACUCUUUUCAAGAUUUUAAAAGUUGACAUAAAGCUAUCUUCAGCUUUCCAUCCUCAAACUGAUGGAUAAACAGAGCGCGUAAACUAAGUCUUGGAACAGUAUUUAAGGUGUACCAUCAACUACCAACAAGAUGAUUGGACAAUCCUUCUGCCAUUGGCAGAGUUUGCUUAUAAUAAUACAGUACAUUCUUCCACGCAACAAACACCUUUCUUUGCCAAUUAUGGCUAUCAUCCACGACUUGAUACUUUUGAUUUUUCAAAAGUUGAUAAUCCUGCAGCAGAAGAUAUGGCAAAUCGGUUGUCAGAGUUACAUGCAAUAAUGAAGGCGCAGUUGAAGAAAGCUCAAGAACGACAAAAGAUAAAUGUAGAUGUAUAUCGUAAAGAGCAACCACAACUCAACGUGGGUGAUAAGGUAUGGCUACUUCGUCGCAAUAUCAAGACCACUCGACCUUGUGACAAAUUGGACUAUCGUAGGCUUGGCCCCUUUUUUGUUUCUGAACAGAUCAACCCAGUUGCAUAUCGGUUACAUCUACCGGAGUCAAUGAAGAUCCAUCCUGUAUUCCACGUGUCUCUUCUUGAACCAUAUAAGACAGUGGAUAUACAAGGAAGAAGACAAAUGCCACCGCCUCCUAUAGAAGUAGGUAAUAAUGAAGAAUUUGAGGUGGAAGAGAUAUUAGACUCAAGGCGGCGCCGAAAUAAGUUGGAAUAUCUUGUUCAUUGGCGCGGAUAUGAUAUUAGUGAACGCACAUGGGAGCCAUCCAGGAAUCUAGCAAAUGCAUCAGCUAAAGUCAAAGUUUUUCAUCAACGACAUCCAUCAAAACCAAGAUGAAAACCUCUCUUAUAAAAGAGACAAGAUUGAGGCAAGAUAACAUUCAAUUUUUUAUCCUUGUUUGUAACUUCUUUGCAUUUGUGACGCUAAUUAGAUGGAGAGCCAACAACCAGCGGAUUCAACUCAAGAACCUUCGUUUACUGACUUACCGGAUGAGACAUUGCGAUUGUCACAACCUUCAAGACGAUGCAACCGAGAUGAAGACCCUCAAGAACGACAUGUUCUUCCUCGAAUAGAUGGUGAGAUACAACGCAUUUGGUAUCACGACCUUGGAAGAGAUUCUCUAUGUUUGGUGAUAUUAUUGGAGAUAGGAACGACUCCUGAUGGUGUUUCAAAUGUAUUAUUUGAAGGAAGUUAUGAAGGCCUCAACAGUGAUCAAAUAACAGGGUGGUCUUCUCGCCCUAGAAUGGGACACUAUCGAUGGCUAAGAGGACCCAUCAACUAUCUUCGAAGAGAACAAAGAUCAGAGUAUGUAGCAAAUACAAUUCGCCGCAUAUUAGAUUUUUUCAAUAUAUAAUCACCGCUCCUCGUGGAACUCGUCCCUAGAAGGGAGGGUAAUGUCACGGACAUACAUAUAAUUACCUAUAUGAAUAGAUAAAAGUAUGUAAAAGUAGAUAAAAGUAGGUUAAUUGUGUAAUAUCUUCUAGAGAAGCUUCUUAGAAGCUUCAUAGAUGCUGCUUUGACUUUAUAGGAGUCUAUAGUUGACUUUUAGGUUAGAAACUUGAUCAACAAGUUAGCCAUGUACCACACAUGUUGGAAGCUUAAAGAACAAGCUAACUACGUGGUCCAUCCAUAGAAAACUUGCCUUGCAAGCAAAGGCAUGUGGCCUAGAAAGUCAACAUAUAUUGGAGGUCUUAUAGAACAUUGCCACGUGGCUUCUAGUUAGAUAGUAUAUAUAGAGGCAAGAGUGAAGCCCUCUUCACUCUUGUCAACUCCUUUCUUGCUUCUAGUCCAGGUUCAAGAGUCUUUAGUUUCUUGUCUUGUGGCAAUAGCCAUUCCAGUUUCCUUUUAAUAUACCUACUUGUUUAUAUUUUGACUUAUUAUAUCGAGAUAGCCUUUUGGUGUAUAUUUUUCCUCAUCGAGUCUUUGUCCUUGACACCCAGGACACGAUUGCUUCCACCUUCUUGAGAUCCAUCUUCAAGCCUUUUGUAGUCGCAACGAACUCCAAAAACUCCAUCUCUAUUUGGUGAAAUAAACACUUCUCCAACUUGACAUAUAGUCCUCGCUCGCAUAGUUUCUCCAAGACCAAAUGAAUGUGCUUUUUAUGCUCUUCUUCGUUUUUGGAGAAUAUCAAAAUAUCAUCCAAAUAGAUGACAACAAAAUCGUCAAGGUACUCUCAGAAAAUGUCAUUCAUCAUAUGUUGAAAGACCGUUGGAGCAUUGGUAAGACCAAAGGGCAUGACAUUAUAUUCAAAAUGGCCAUACCUUGUACAAAACGCUGUCUUCCACUCAUCUCCUUCUUUAAUUCAUAUGAGGUUGUAAGGUCCCCUUAGAUCAAUUUUUGUAAAGAUCCUUGCACAUCCAAGUUAUUCUAAGAGAGUAGAAAUUAAGGGUAACGGAUAACGAUUCUUCUUUGUUAUCUUGUUGAGGCCUCGAUAGUCCACGCACAUCCGCAACGAGCCAUCUUUCUUCUUUACAAAUAAGAUGGGUGCUCCAACUAACGAUUUUGAAUGACGGAUGAAGUUCUUGGCUAGAUUCUCGUCGAUGUACUUCCACAACUCCGCCAACUCUGUCUGCGAUAGAUUGUAGAUUGGGCCAAAAGGUGAUUGUGCUCCUUUCUGCAAGUCUAUGGCGCAAUCAUAUGGUCGGUGUUCCGGUAGCAUGUCGGCAUUCUUCUUUUGAAACACAGCUUUAAAAUCCUUAUAUUGCUCAAAUAUACUUGUUAUCGAGAUCUUCUCCCCAGUAGUUGGAGCCGCAUAAAUGACAAACGGUGUGCCUUCCUUGGACGAUCUUAUAAACGCUCUUGCUCUAAUGAAUAAGGAUUUUUCUAUUCGGAAUUUUCUACUAGGCUUGCUCUUAGGUGGUUUUGUAGGAAAGGUCAUCUUCCGCAACCUCCAAUCUAUGGAUGGAUUAUGCUUUUCUAACCAAGAAAGUCCAAGAUUAAUAGGAUUUGAUGGGGUUCUAAUAAUAUUGAAAAUAAUAUGACUACUAUGGCCCUUAAAUGUCACUUCUAUAGGUUCUGAUUCAUGGGUGACACUACCUGAUAAUAAAGGUCGUCCAUCUAUGACCUCAACACGAACAGGUUUGGAUUUUUGUACUAAAGGGAUCUUAUGACGCUUCGUAAAUUCUUCGUCUAAGAAACAAGCAGAUGCUCCUGAAUCUAAUAACGCUAAGGUUCUUUGUUUUUGAGGGCCAAUAAGUAAAGUGAUUGUAAAACAAAGGGCAGGUUGAGCGGAAAGAAAGGAACCUGGUUGUUGUUGCGAUAUUUCACUGUCUAGCCGCACGGUUCCUAUUGUGGUUGGGCAUCCUCGUUUUCUUGAACAAACGCGCUCCUAGUCCUUACAAUACGUCAAUUUUGCUUCUUGGGGUAGUUUCCAACUUUGUGGCCUUCUUCACCGCAAUACAAGCAUAGACCUUCCUCCAUACGUCACUUUUUUUCUUCUUGGGUAAGAGUUUUGACACGUACUGCAUCAAUUUGCAUGUCUUCUACCUCUGAAUGUGAAUUCACAUUGCUUGUCGACAUAGUUGGGGCAUGGCAAAUUGUAUGUUAUCUUGAACGUUGAUCUUGGCGACAUUGGAAUAGGUGAUUAUUGCACUUCACAACUUGGCUAAUAGCUUCAUUAAGCGUUUGUGGAUCAGAAAGAGUUAACAGUAAAUCCUUCACAUCAUCCCUUAAACCCCAAUAGAAUUGACUCAUCAACGCUUCUUCGUCCCAAUUGAUGUUGCAUGCUAAUUGCCUGAAGUCCAAUGCAUAGACUGAUGUAGAGCGCAUCCCUUAUCGUAGUGACUGGAUCUUUGUUGUAGCCCAUCGAACCUUGUCGUGUUCACCAAAUACUUUCGCAAAUGCCUCCAAAAAGGUUUCAAAGUUAUUUAAUAUGGAUGAUUGUUUCUCAAACAAAGGAGCAAACUAUGAUAGAGCUUGUCCUGUAAGUAAGGUUCCAACAAGUCCAAUACGUGACUCCUCCGUUGGAUAGCAUUCGGGCUGUAAAACUGUUAUCAACCUGAUUUGAUUGACGAAUCCUCGAAACUUGGAACGCGUACUAUCGAACUUGUCCGGAAGGCUAAUUCGGGGCUCCUUAUGUUGUAGAACCAGCGGUGCUUGUCGAACCUGAGGCAAAGUUACUUCUCCAAGUACAGAAGUUUGAGGCUGGUGCAACCUAGAUUGUACCAUCCCAAAUGCUCCAUCAUUAUGAAGCCUUGCCAUGACUCCUUCAAUCUCUGCAAUUCUUUGCAAUAACGUAGCGAGGGCAUUCAUGAUAGCAUCCAAUUUGGAUUCUGAACUUUUCGUCAUACUAAUGUCUUGGCCUCCGGCCAUUCUAAGAAAAGGACAGAAAUGACUCUACAAGAAGACAAUAUUGGUUUAGAGGAGGAUACUCCGCAACCUCUAAAAUGUCUUAAGAGCUUCAAGAAAAGGAGUAAUCCACUCUCUCCAAGAAGAAUAAGACUCCAAUAUUGUAACAAAAGAAAUAUUAGUUUAGAGGAGGAUAAUCCGCAACCUCUAAAAUGCUAGUAUACUUCCAAGCAGAGGGAUAAUCUAUACUCUAACGAGGAAGAAACUAACUCUGAUAUCUGAGGUGAGCGAAGUCUCGAUAAACUAUCAUGGACACAGAAAUACAGACUCGAGAUCUAACAAGAAAUUCAAGAAGAAUUGGCAAGAACUAGAUUAAUCAAAUGAAUACAAGAACAACACCAGAGAGGUGAGCUAGAGCUCCAAGAGAUGUGUUGUCGAGACUGAAGAACUCUUCAGCCUCGAUUCCAAUAUAUACUCCUAUUUAGGAAGCUUCUCAAGCAACUUCUACCAACUAAGAAGCUUCUAGAAGAUUCUAGAGACUUGCUUCUAGAAGAUUCUAGAAACUUGUCUCUAGAAGGUUUUAGAAACUUGUCUCUAGAAGGUUUUAGAAACUUGUCUCUAGAAGGUUUUAGAAACUUGUCUCUAGAAGGUUUUAGAAACUUGUCUCUAGAAGGUUUUAGAAACUUGUCUCUAGAAGGUUUUAGAAACUUGUCUCUAGAAGGUUUUAGAAACUUGUCUCUAGAAGGUUUUAGAAACUUGUCUCUAGAAGGUUUUUCAAAACUUAGUUUAUUUGCUUUGCUUGUCUAUCAAUUUGAGGAUGAAAAGCCAAAGAUAGUUUUAUUUCUACCUUUAGAAUCUUAAAAAGAACUUUUAAAAAUCUUGAUAUAAAUUAAAUUCGAUUAUUUGAUAAAACAUCCUUAGGCAAUCCAUAAUAGCUAUAGAUAUUGUCAAGAAAAAGUUUAGUUAUUUCUUCACCUAUGAUAGAUUUUGUACAUGAUACAAAAUAUACCAUCUUGAUAAAAUAAUCUACUAUCAUGAAUAUAGAGUCAUAAGAAACUAAGACUAAAAAAUCUAUGAAAAAAUCUAUAAAAUCAAAAGAUCAUAGUUAUUUUAGAAUAUGUAAUUACUAAAGAAGUCUAUUAGAUCAAUAAUGAAGGAUUUCUAUUUUUAAAAAAAAUCAUAUGAUUGUAAAAAAUCUUUGACUAUUUUUUACAUUUAAUGCUACUAAAAAUUUCUAGAUAUUAGCUCUAAAGUCUUACUAUAUCUAAAAUACCUAAUUAUUAGAAAGUUAUGAUAAGUUUUAAGAACACAUAAUUAUGCUUUGUCUUUUGAAAUAUAUAAUCAUCCUUCAAAAUAGAAUAGAUUAUUUAUAAAAUUAAACUUAAAAAUAUCAUAAGACUUAAAAGAAUUAUUCUUAAUAUUAUGAAAAAGAAGAUCAAAAGACAUACUCAAUUAAACUUGCUUAAGAAAGGUUGAAUUAAUAGUCAAUAUUGAUUUCAUUGCUUGAAGAUGAAAAUGCUUUGGCUUCAAGAGAAUCAUUUUGUAUUGAUCAAAAGCUAAAUUUUCUUCUUUAAAUGUAAGAUAAAAAUGUCUUAAAAUGGUUUUUAAUAAUCUCUAUUGUUUUUCAAGUAGAUAAGUAAUCAUAAAAUCAAAUGUUCAUAAAAACAUGCUCCAAUGAUUCAAUCAAGAUUCAAAACAUGUAUUGCCAUAAAAUACUCAAGGUUUUUAUGACCCAUAUGUACAAUGACUAGAAUAGAAGCACCUUCUAGAUAAUAACAUUAUUUUUGAAAUUAAUUGACAAUUAUAAGAAGUUUUUUGUUUUCGAUCUCUGCUGCUGAAAAUUUCUUGAAAUGAUAAGCUACUAGGUGGAGUUUGUCAUUUGCUCCCAUUUAAAACAAUAUUACAUCCAUAGCAAAGUUUGAUGCAUCUAUUUCUAUCAAUAAUAUUAUAAAAAAGUCAAUAUAAUAGAAGAUUGGUGUAGAAAUAAAUAUUAUCUUCAAGGCUUCAAAAGAUGCUUCAACUUCUUUGCUUUAAUUACGUUUGUCUUUAUAUGUCAGACUUGUAAGAAGAGCCACAACUUGAAAAAAAAAAUCUUAAUAAAGAUCUAAUAAUAAUAAUUAAUAAAUCUCAAAAGACAUUACAUAUUUUUAAUUAUUUUUGAGAUCUUCCAAUCCAUGAUAGUUUAGAAUUUCUUAGGAUCCAUCAUAGAACUAUUAUUUAAAAUAAUAUAUUCUAAAAAGUCAACUUCAAUAUUUUGAAAUAUACAUCUUUUUUUCUUAGCAUAUGAUCAUGUAUUUUUUAAUUUUUGUAAUAUAUAACAAAUAUGCAAUUGAUUUUUUUUAUAUUUUUAGAGUAAAUUAAAAUAUUGUAUAAAUCAAAGAUAAUAAAAUCCUCAAAAAACUUGUAAAGACAUCAUCCAUUAGAUAUUGAAAAGAAAUUGGUACAUUUGUGAAUUCAAAAGGCAUGAAAUUAUAUUUGAAAUACCUAAAUCUAAUUCAAAAUAUAAUUUUUAUUCAUCUCUUUUUUUAAUGAGUAUUAAGUUAUAUACUUUUUAUAUAUCUAUUUUUAUAUAAAUCUAUAUUUGAUUGAGUUGAUUAAUAAAUUAUAAAAUUAAAGAUAAAAAAUACCUAUUUUUGAUGGUAAUCUUAUUGAGUCCUUAAUGAUCCACACAUAUUUAUAAAAAUCUGUCUUUUUUCUUCAAAAAUAAGAUAGAAGCUUUUUUUGAAGAUUUUAAAUGGAAAACAAAAUUCUUAGACAAAUUCUGAUCAAUGUUUUCUUUGAAUGCAGCCAAUUUGUUUUGGAAUAACCUAUAGAUUGGUCUAAAAGAUGAUUGAAUUCUUUCUUGAAGAUUGAUGGAAUAAUCGAUGAAAGAUAUGAAUUUUAAAAAGAGAAUACCUCAAUACACUCUUGUGUUAUUCAAAAAGAUUAGAAAAUCACUUAAAGAUGAUAUAGUAUUAGAUUAAAAUGGCUAUUGCAAAAGAUAAAAAGUAUUAUAAGUCUUGAGAUAAGACUAAGAACUAGAAAGUCAUUGAUAAGAGUGAAGAAGGCUUCAUUCUUGCCUCCAUAUAUACUCUUAACUAGGAGCUAUAUGGCAAUAUCUUAUAGGUCCUCUAAAAUGUGUUGACUUUGUAUAAUAUGUAUCUUAACUUAUAAAGUAAGUUUUUUAUAUAUAUGCCACAUAUUUAGCUUAUUUUUGCAAGCUAUCAAUAAGUAGUUAACUUACUCACCAAGUUUCUUACCUAUCAAUCAAUUAUAAAUACAUGUAAAGUCAAAGCAAUGUCUAUAAAGCUUCUAAGAAGCUUUUCUAAAAAAUAUUAUGAAAUAAAUUCAUUUUUACUUACUUCUAUUUAAUCAUAUAAAUAAAUAUUAUAAUAAAUAUAUAUAUUUGUGACGUUAUUCCCUCUUUUAGGGAUGGAUUCCACAAAGAGCAGUCAUCAAAUGUUGAAGAAAUCGAAGGUAUGGCAAAUUAUAUUUGCCAUAUACAUUGAUCUUUAUUCUCUUUGAAGAUGGUUAAUAUGUCUUCUUAGCCAUCAAUAAUAUUCCAUACCACGAUAGAAAGACCACUAUGUUAUUUGAUUGUUGUUGAGGCCUUUGUAACUUUCUUCAAAUGAAAAAUUUAAAAAACUAUUAAGAGUCGUUCUAACUUCUAAUGAAAUCACCAAACAUUGGGAGUCUCUUCCAAGGUCGUGAUACCAAAUACGUUAUAUCUCACCAUCUAUUUGAAGAAGAACUUGUUAUUCUUGAGGAUCUUUAUCUCGAUAAUAUCGUCUUGAAGGUUGUAACAAUUAUAAUUUUUUGUCUAAUAAAUCAACAAAUGAUAGCUUUUGAAUUGAAACUAUUGAUUCUUGCUUGUCCAUCUCUUUAACGUCACAAAUACACAAAAAUAUCAAACAAGAGUAGAAAGUAGAAUGAUAUCUUUUUUAGAUCUUGUUUCUUUUAUAGCAAAGAUUUGUAAUUUUUUAUCUUAAUUUUUAUGAAUGUCGUCAAUAAAAAAUAUCAACCUUCUUUGUUGCAUAUGUAAGAUUCUGUGUUGGCUCUCAUGUGUAUUCAAUAAUAUUAUAUUUGUCUCAAUGAACAAGAUAUUUUAAUCUAUUUUGGUGCCACCUUAAAUCUAAGAUUGCUUCAACUUCAAAUUCUUGAUUAUUAUCCACUUCUAUAAGAGGAAGUGGCAUUUGACUUCUUUCUAAGAUAUUCAUUGACUUAUAUGGCUCAAGAAAAUAGACAUGGAAUACAAGAUGGAUCUUCAUAGACUCUGAUAGAUAUAAUCAAUAAGUAAUAAGAUUGACUUAUUCACAAAUAAAAAAACAUCUAAGCCUAUUAUAAUCCAACUUGUUACAAGUACAAAUAGUCUUAAUAUUACAAUGAAAUAACUAUACCUUGUCACUCACAUUGAAUUGUGGUUGUUCCUUGCAAUAGAUAUCUACAUUGAUUUUUUGUCAUUCUUAAGCUGUAAUUAAUUGCACCUUUAUUGUUGCAUAGCUCUAACAAACAAUUUACCAAAUCUUUUGCCAUAAGAUUAUCAACUUUUGAAAAGUCAAAAAUAUCAAAUUGUAGAUGAUAACUAUAGUUGGUAAAAAAAAGUAUUUGUUUAGUAGAAGAGUGUACUGAAUUAUUGUAUGGAAACUCUACCAAUGAAAAAAAAAUUGUCUAAUCAUCUUCAUAACUAUUGAUGGUACGCUUCAAGUACUAUUCUAAAACUUGAUUCACCUAUUCUGUUUAUCCAUCAGUUUGAGGAUGAAAAGUUAAAGAGAGUUUUAUAUCCUUGUUUAGAAUCUUAAAAGGAUUUUUUAAGAUAUUAAUAUAAAUUUAGUCCUCCUAUUUGAUAUAAUAUCUUUGAACAAUCCAUAAUAGCUAUAGAUGUUGUCAAGAAAAAACUUAGUUAUUUCUUCACUUAUGAUAGAUUUUAUACAUGAUACAAAAUAUGCUAUCUUUGUAAAACAAUCUACUAUUACAAAUAUAAAAUCAUAAAAAUCUGAAAUUGAAAGAUCUGUAAUAAAAUCCAUAGAAACAAAAUACCAUAAUUGUUCUAAAAUAGGUAAUGGUUGAAGAAGUUCAUAAGAUCGAUGAUAAGAAAUUUUGGAUCUUAAACAAAUAUCACAUUAUUAUAUAAAGACUUUGACUACCUUCCACAUUUGAAGCCACCAAAAAUCUUUAGAUAUUAGCUCCAAAGUCUUAUUGUAUCCAAAAUAUCUAGUUGCUAAAAAGUCAUAACAAGCUUAAAGAAGACAUAAUUAUGCUUUGUCUUUUGAAAUAUAUAUUUAUUCCUUAAAAUAGAAUAAAUUAUUCUUAAACUCGAAUUUGAAAGUAUCAUGAGACUUAGAAGAAUUAUUCUUGAUAUGAUGAAUAAAAAGUUCAAAAGACAUAUUUAAUUGAAUUUUCUUGACAAAGAUUGAAUCAAUAAUUAAUGCUAAUUUUAUUACUCAAUGAUGAAAAUACUUUAGCUUUAAGAAAAUUAUUCUUUAUUAAUAAAAAGUUACAUUUUUUUCUUUUGAUGCAAGAUAAGAAUGUCUAAAAAAGCCAUCUAAUAAAUGUUAUUUUUUUUUGGAUCUAUAAGUGAACUUGAAAUCAAAUCUUAAUAAAGACAUAUUCCAAUAAGCUUGGCAAGGAUUCAAAAUAUAAGCUGAUAUGAAAGAAUUGAGGUUCUUUUGAUUUUUAUAUACAAUAACUAGUUUAGAAGCACCUUUAAGAUAAUGAUGCUAUUCUUGAAAUGAAUCUAUAAUUACAAGAAGCUCUUUAUCAUAGAUUUCAUAGUUAAUUUCAAUUAUUUAAAAUUUCUUGGAAUAAAAGGCUAUUGAAUAGAGCUUAUUAUUUGCCUCCAUUUGUGAUAAGAUAAUAUUCAUAAAAAAGUUUGGUGUAUUUAUUUUUAUAAAGAAUGUCUUGAAAAAAUUGACACAAUACAAAAUUAGUUCAAAAAUAAAUGAUGUCUUGAAAGAUUGAAAAGAUAUUUCAACUUCUUAGCUCCACUCAAGUUUAUUUUUAUAUAUCAAGUAUGUAAGAGAAGUUACAACUUGAAAAAAGUUUUUAAUGAAGAUUUGAUAAUAAUUGGAAAAUCCAAAAAAAUAUUAUAUAUCUCAGAUAAUUUUUGGAACCUUCCAAUCCAUGAUAAUCAAAAUCUUCUUAGGAUCCAUCAUUAAUCUUUCAUUGGAAAUAAUGUAUUCUAAAAAAUCAACUUAAGUACUAAGUAAUACAUACUUUUUCAGCUUUAUAUAUUAUCUUACAUCUUUAAAUUUUUAUAAUAUAUGCCAAACAUGAAGUUUAUAUUCUUUUGUAUUCUUAGAAUAGAUUAGAAUAUUUUCUAAAUAAUAGACAAUAAAAUUAUCAAGAAACUCAUAAAAGACAUCAUUUAGGAGAUAUUAAAAAGUAAGUAAUAUAUUUAAAAGUCCAAAAGGUAUGAUAUUAUAUUCAAAAUAUCCAUAUUUAGUUUGCAAAGCACUCUUCUAUUCAUCUCUUUUUUUGAUGUGGACCAAAUUAUAUGUUCCUCAUAGAUCUAUUUUUAUAUAGAUCUUUGCUUGAUUAAUUUGAUCAAGAAGUCCUAAAAUCAAAAGUAAAAGAUACCUAUUUUAGAUGGUGACCUUGUUAAGUCCUUCAUAGUCUAUGCACAUUUGCAAAGAUCCAUCUUUUUUCUUCACAAAUAAGAUAGGAGCUCUAGCUAAAGAUUUCAAAUGACGUAUAAAGUUUUUAGCCAAGUCUUGGUCAAUUUAGACUUUUACUGCAACCAACUUAUUUUGCAAUAAGCUAUGGAUCGAUCCAAAAGAUAGUUGAGUUCCUUCUUGUAGAUUAAUUGAACAAUCAUAUGGCCAAUAUCUUGAAAAAAUAUCUAUAUUUUUCUUUUCAAAAACAUCCUAAAAAUCUUAAUAUUAGCUAAAAAUACCACUUGAUGUCUUUUUACCAUCAAAAACAGGUGUAGCAUAUAUAGCAAAAAAUGAUCUUUUUUUUGCCACAUGUAUGAAAGUUCUUAUACUUAUUAAUAAGGAUUUGGAUGUACUAGGCUUAUCUAUUUUUACUUCAUUAUUAAAAUUAUAUAAUAAACUACAAAAAAUUAAAAUUACAAGAAAUCCAAUCUAUCUAAGGAUUAUAUUUUUUUAACCAUGAUAAUCCUAAAAUAACUAGAUUGGAGGGAAAUCUUAUCACAUUGAAUAUUACUAUACUAUUAUGGUCUUUAAUUGCUACAUCUAAAGGAAAAAUCUUAUAAAUAAUAUUUCUAAAAGAUAAUGAACAAUUAUCUAUGACUUUUAUAUGUAAAAAUUUAGGUUUCUUAAAUAAAAGUAUUUCUUAUUUUUUGAUAAAAUCUUUGUCUAUAAAACAAGUUGAGACUAUUGAAUUUAAUAAUGCAAAGAAUUUGUAGUUUUUAGGUUCUUAACAUGCAUCUAUUGUAAAACAAGAUGAAGAAUCUAAAGAGAGAAUUAGAUCUUUACUAGAUAUUAUACAUGAUUCCAAUCACACAAUCUCUAUUGUAACUAGAAAAACUUUUUUUUUUUGACACACUAUCUUCUUUGGCAAUUGUGCUACUUAUUUUGUGAUUACAUUGCUAUUUUGGAUAAUAUUGAAUAAUAUACUUAGCUUCUCUAUAAUAUAAGCAAAAACCCUCUUAAUGACGUUGAGUAUUUUUUUCCUUAAUAAGGGAUUUAAAAUAUAUCAUAUUAAUUUGUAUUAAUUACAGCCUUAAUAUGUAAGUUUAUAAAAACAUAGAAGCAACUAUUAUUACUUGGCUUAUUCUUCUCUAUUCAAAUUUUUAUUUUUGAUGAUUUUCAAAUAAUUAAUUGUUGCAUGUAAUAGCUUGAAUAAUAAAUUUUUCUACAGAUUAUACUUUUGGCAUUGUCAAUAAUAAAUCAUUGACAUUAUCCUUUAAUUCAUAUCAAAAUUGAUUGAUGAGGGCUUUGUCAUUCCAGUCUAUAUUGUAAGCAAGAUUUUAGAAUUUAGCAACAUAUAUGGUAGCUAAUUGUGAUUCUUGUUGUAAAGAUAAGAACUUAAAUUCAACUACUCUUUCUAAAUCACUUUUUUUUAAUGUAGGAAAAAAUACUUCUAAGAAUGAAUUUAAAAUAUAAAAGAAAUGAGAAUCAUUUUCUAUCAAUGAUGCAAACCAAGAAAGAACACUUCUAAAUAGAACAGUACCUAUAAAUUCAACUUUAAUAAAUCCAUCAGGAUAUUAGAAGGGAUACAAAAUUAGAUAAAGCUUCACUUGUUGCAAAAAUCCUCAAAAUUUUGAUUCCAUUCCAUCAAACUUAUCAAGCAUACUAAUCCAAGUCUCCAUCAUAUUUCUAGAAGUAAAACUUCAUAAAUUUGGUUGACAAAUUGUCACGGACAUACUCAUGUAAGUUAGUAAUUACAUAUAGAAAUAGAUGAAAGUAAGUAAAAGUAGAUAAAAAUAAGUUAAUUCUAUAGUAUUUAAUAUGGAAGCUUCCUAGAAGCUUCAUAGACGUUGCUUUGACUUCAUAGGUGUCUUUAAUUGACUUUUUGGAUUAGAAACGUGGUCAACAAGUUUGCCAUGUGCCACACAUGUUGUUAGCUUGAAGAUCAAGCUAACUAUGUGGUCCAUACGUAAAAAAACUUGCCUUGUAAGUCAAAGCAUGUCUCCUACAAAGUCAACACAUAUUGGAAGUCCUAUAGAACGUCGCUACAUAGCCUCUAGUUAGAUAGUAUAUAUAGAGAUAAGAGUGAAGCCCUCUUCACUCUUAUCAACUCUUUUCUUGCUUCUAGUCUAGUUUCAAGGGUCUCUAGAUUUCUUGUCUUUUAGCAAUAGCCAUUCCAGUUUCUCUUUCAAUAUACAUACUUAUUUAUUUAUAUUUUGUUACCUUUCUUUGAGUGAAGGCUCAAUUAUCUAAAUUUCUUUUUUAUCGAGUUCUUGUCCUUGAUAGAUUGACAAGAGUGCACCUACAAUAUCAGAGCUUUGUCUAAUCUUGAUUAAGAGUGAAUUAUCCCUUCUCUUGAUAAGAUAUAAGCAUAUUAGAAGUUGCAGGUUACCCUCUUCUAAACUGAUAUUGUCCUCAGUAUUUUCUUUGUUCCUAAGUCCUCUCUUCUAUUUGUCUUGAGCAAUAUUAGACAUCUUCUCUUUUCUAAGCAUUAUCAUGGCAGAACUUGUUGAAAUGAAGAGUGCAAUGGCACAAAUGCAAGAGCAAUUGAGAGAUUCAAUGCUUGCGAUGCAUCAACUCAAUUUACCACAACAAAGAGUAACAAGAUUGGUAGAAAGUGAAGAUAUAGAAAUGGUUGGAGCUACUUCAAUAUCUGUACCAAAUCAUGAUUUUUUUCCUACGGUGGAACGCCCUUCCAAUGUUAGAGAACCAAGAAUUACCCUACCCAAGAAGUUUAAUAGCACCAGAUCCAAGUUUCGAAGAUUUAUCAAUCAAGUGCAACUUGUGAUUGAACUUCAACCCCAAAGCUAUCCAACUCUAAGAUCGCAAGUUACAUUCAUUGAUAUGCUUCUUUCAGAUUCAGUACUAUCGUGGUUUUCAUCAUUUCUUGAACGAUAAGAUCCAAUAUUAGAUAAUCUAAAGGCUUUUUUGCUGGAGUUUUGAUCCAUGUAUAAAGAAUAUGAUGCAAUUUGUGUUGCAACCAAUAAGAUCUGAAUUAUAUGGCAAGGCAAUCGAUCAGUAACGUUGUACGCUUCAUAAUUUGGACAACUUGCAAUUGAUAUCAAGUGGGAUGAUGCUGCACUUAUUAGUCAAUUUCUCUACGGAUUACAAUAUGAGGUAAAAAAAUUAAUGCUCAACUUACCUGAUCCUCAAACAUUGAGUCAAGCAAUUGACUUUGCUAUGAAGUGCAACAAUCACCUUUUUGAAUUCCGAUCUGAGAACCAUACAAGUGGACCUCAACGUUACUAUAUUUCAAUGGCAACACCAACACCUCUUCAACACAUACAUUCGAAAGAAGAGGAUCUGUAAAUUGAUGCAAUACAUUUCAAAUCUCUUACUGAAUAAGAAAAGACUCAUCGUCGUUAAGAAGAAUUAUGUUUAUAUUGUGGAGAAACAAAGCACAUUGCUCAACAUUGUCCAAAGAAACAAUGCAAUCAAAAAAUGAAGAAUAUGGCUGUGAAAGAAGACAAUAUGUCAGAAAACGAGUUUGUCUAGCUACAAUAGGAACUGUGUGGCUAGAAUCUUGCACAACAUCUAGUAAAGGUCCUAUUCUCUCCUCAGAGCCCUCUCCUUAGUUUACAUUAAACGUUAUUUUAGGACUUAAAUAUUACAAAGCCUCUGUCUUGUUAGAUUCAAUAGGCUCGGCGUAUUUCUUAGAUGAAGAAUUUACUAAAAGACAUAGAAUAUCUUUAGUAAAGAAAACUAAACCUGUUCAUGUAGAAGUCAUAGAUGGUCGUUCAUUGUCUUCUACAGAUAUUACUCACAAAAUCCUUCUUAUAGAAGUAAUAAUCAAUGAUCAAAAUAGCUUUGUAGUAUUUAAUAUCAUUAGAUCUCCCUCUAAUCCAAACAUUUUAGGUUUAUUGUGGUUAAAAAAAUACAACCUUCAAAUAGAUUGGAUUUCCUGAACUCUUACUCUCUCUAAAGGUAUAACUAACAAUGUAGUUAAUCAAAUAGAGAGUCAUAAGUCCAGUUCAAUUAAACCCGUAUUUAUAGGUGCAAAAGCUUUCUUGCAUGUUGCUAUGAAAGAAUCACCAUAUAUUAUUUAUGCCACACUUGUUUCUAUUGGUGGAAAGACUUCAAGUGGCAUUCCAAGCCAAUAUCAAGAAUUUCAAGAUGUAUUCGAAAAAAAAAAAAUGCGGAUACACUCCAGGAACAUCAUCCCUAUGAUUGUUCAAUUGACCUUCAAGAAAGAGCACAAUCGCCAAUCGAACCAAUCUACAGUUUAUCACAAAAUGAGUUGACUGAACUCAAGGAGUAUAUUGAAGAAAAUCUAGCCAAGAAUUUCAUAUGCCAUUCUAAAUCUUCGGCAGGAGUUCCAAUUCUAUUUGCGAAGAAAAAAGAUGGAUAAUUGCGGAUGUGUAUUGAUUAUCGAGGACUCAACAAGAUUACUUUCAAGAACAAGUAUCCACUACUUUUAAUAUCUGGAUUUAUUGAUCAAGUGAAUCAAGCUAAGAUCUAUACAAAAAUAGAUCUUUGGAGAGCAUACAAUCUUGUAUGCAUCAAAGAAGGAGAUGAAUGGAAGACUCCAUUUCGAACUAAGUAUGGACAUUUUAAAUACAACGUCAUGCCUUUUGAACUUAUAAAUGCACCAACAGCUUUUCAACAUCUAAUGAAUGAUGUUUUUCGAGAUUUUUAGGACGAUUUUAUGGUCUGUUGUCUAGAUGACAUCUUCAUCUAUUCUAAGAAUCCAAAAGAACAUGAACUUCAUGUUUGUCAUGUGUUACAAAAAUUAAGAGAUGCAGGACUCUAUGGCAAGAUAGAAAAGUGUGUAUUCUACACCACUCGAGUCGAUUUUUUAGUUUAUCUCAUUUCAAAUGAUAGAUUUAUGAUGGAUCCUAAGAAAGUUCAAAUUAUUAUAGAUUAGAAGAUCUCAAAAAUAGUAAGAGAUGUCCAAUGUUUUUUGGGAUUUGCCAACUACUAUCGAAUCUUCAUCAAAGACUUCUCUCAAGUUGCAGCUCCACUUACACGUUUGACUUAUAAAGACAAACUCUAAUGGAAUCAGGAAGCGGAAGUUGCUUUUGAAUCUUUGAAGUCAGCGUUUGUUUCUGCACCAAUCUUGUACCGUGUUGAUUUUUUCAAAGCAUUCUUUAUGGAAAUAGAUGCAUCAAACUUUGCUCUGGAUGCAAUUUUAUUACAAAUAGGAAUAGAUGACAAACUUUAUCCAGUAGCCUUUCAUUCAAGAUAAUUCUCAACUACAGAAAUCAAUUAUGAGAUCCACGACAAAGAACUUCUUACAAUCAUAGAUUCUUUUCAAGAAUGGCAUCAUUAUCUAGAAGGCACUUCCAGUCCAAUCAUCAUAUAUAUGGAUCACAAGAACCUCAAGUAUUUUACGUCAACACGCAUAUUAAAUCAUCGUCAAGCUCAUUGGAGCAUGUCUUUAUCAAGAUUCGAGUUCAUCAUCACUUAUCGGCUAGAAAAACAACAAGGUUUGUCCGAUGCCUUGUCUAGACGUUCUUAUCUUGCACCAAAAGAAGGAGAUGCAGCUUUUGAGCAACAAAGAACGGUUCUCUUGAAGCUGAAGAAAUUUCAUCUUCGAGCAAUAAAAUCAACAUUGAUAGUUGAUUUAACUUUUCUUAAGUAAGUCCAGUUAAGUAUGUCUUCAAACCCUCUUGUUCAUGAUAUUAAGAAUAAUUCUUCUAAAUCUCAUGAUCCCUCUAAAUUUGAAUUCAAGAACAACCUACUUUAUUUCGAAGGAUGCCUAUAUGUUCUAGAAGGAGAAGCAUGUUUACGUAUUCUUCAAGCUCGUCACGACUUUCCAGCAGUAGGAUAUUUUGGAUAUAAUAAGACUUUGGAGUUGAUAUCUAGAGAUUUUUGGUGGCCUCAAAUGUGGAAGGCAGUCAAAGAUUUUGUACAAUUAUGUGAUCCUUGUUCAAGAUCAAAAACUCCUCAUCAUCGAUCUUUUGGACUUCUUCAGCCAUUACCCAUUCCAAAACAAUCAUGGUCUUCUAUUUCUAUGGACUUCAUUAUAGAUCUUCCAAUCUCAGGUUCUUAUGAUUCUAUAUUCGUGAUAGUAGAUCGUUUUACCAAGAUGGUUUAUUUUGUACCAUGUACAAAAUCUAUCAAAGGUGAAGAAACAGCUAAGCUCUUUCUUGAUAAUAUCUAUUGCUAUCAUAGAUUACCUAAGGAUAUUAUAUCAGAUAUGGGAACUCAAUUUAUAUCAAGAUUUUGGUGGACUCUUUUCAAGAUUCUAAAAGUGGAUAUAAAACUAUCUUCGACAUUCCAUCCUCAAAUUGAUGGACAAACUAAGCAUUUUAAUCAAGUUUUGGAGCAAUAUUUAAGAUGAACCAUUAAUUACCAACAAGAUGAUUGGACAACUCUUUUGCCAUUGACAGAGUUUGUUUACAAUAAUACGGUACAUUCUUCUACAAAAUAAACACCUUUCUUUGCUAAUUAUGGUUAUCAUCCACGACUUGAUACUUUUAACUUUUCAAAAGUUGAUAAUCCUACAGCAAAAGAUUUACAAUUUAUUUAUCAGAGCUACAUGCAACGAUGAAGGCGCAGUUAAAAGAGGCUCAAGAACAACAAAAGGUCAAUGCAGAUGUCUAUCGAAAGGAACAACCAGCAUUCUUCUUGGGUGAUAAGGUAUAGCUACUUUGUUGUAAUAUCAAGACCAUUCAUCUUUGUGAUAAGUUGGACUAUCAAAGACUUGGACCAUUUUCUAUUUUUAUACAAAUCAAUCUAAUUACAUAUCGUUUACAUCUAUCGGAGUCAAUGAAAAUCCAUCUAGUAUUCCACAUAUCUCUUCUUGAACCAUAGAAGACAAUGGAUAUACCAAGAAGACGACAAGCUCCACCUCCUCCUAUAGAAGUGGACAAUAAUGAAGAGUUUGAAGUAGAAGAAGUCUUAGAUUCAAGGCGGCGCCAAAAUAAAUUGGAAUAUCUUGUCUAUUGGCACGGAUAUGAUAUUAGUGAAUGCACAUGGGAGCCAAUAAAAAAUCUUGCAAAUGCAGCAAAGGUGGUGGAGGCUUUUCAUCGACGACAUCCAUCAAAAUCAAGAUGAAAAUCUUUUUUAUAAAAGAAACAACAUCUAGGCAAGAUAACAUUCUACUUUCAAUCCUUGUUCGUAGCUUCUUUGUAGUUGUGAUGCUCAGGAGAUGGAGAACUAACAACCAAUGGAUUCGACUCAAGAGCCUUCAUUUGUUGACCUACCGGACGAGACAUUACGAUUGUCUCAACCUUCAAGACGAUGCAAUCGAGAUGAAGAUCUUCAAGAACGACAUAUUCUUCCUCGAAUAGAUGACGAGAUACAACGCAUUUGGUAUCACAAUUUGGGAAGGGACUCUCAAUGUUUGGUGAUUUUGCUAGAGAUAAGAACAACUCCUGAUGGUGUUCAAAAUAUUCUAUUCGAAGCAAGUUAUGAAGGCCUCAACAAUGAUCAAAUAAUGGGGUGGUCUUCCUACCUUGGUAUGGGACACUACCGAUGGUUGAGAGGCCCUAUCAAUCAUCUUCGAAGAGAACAAAGAUCAGAGUAUGUGGCGAAUACAAUUUGUGGCAUUAUAGAUUUCUUCAACAUAUGAUGAUCGCUCUUCGUAGAACUCUUCCCUAGAAGUGGGGAGUAAUGUCACGGACAUACUCAUAUAAGCUAGUAAUUACAUAUACAAAUAGGUGGAAGUAAGUAAAAAUAGAUAAAAGUAAGUUAAUUCUAUAGUAUUUAAUAUGAAAGCUUCCUAGAAGCUUUAUAGACGUUGCUUUGACUUCAUAGGUGUCUUUAAUUGACUUUUUGGAUUAGAAACGUAGUCAACAAGUUGGCCAUGUGCCACACAUAUUGUUAGCUUGAAGAUCAAGCUAACUAUGUGGCCGACAAAUAGAAAAACUUGCCUUGUAACUCAAGGCAUGUAUCCUACGAAGUCAACACAUAUUAGAGGUCUUAUAGAACGGUGCCACGUAGCCCUUAGUUAGAUAGUAUAUAUAGAGACAAGAGUGAAGCCCUCUUCAUUCUUGUCAUCUCUUUUCUUGCUUCUAGUCUAGUUUCAAGGGUCUCUAGUUUUCU